AUUGAACGCUGGCGGCAGGCCUAGCACAUGCAAGUCGAACGGUAGCACAGAGAGCUUGCUCUCGGGUGACGAGUGGCGGACGGGUGAGUAAUGUCUGGGAAACUGCCCGAUGGAGGGGGAUAACUACUGGAAACGGUAGCUAAUACCGCAUAACGUCGCAAGACCAAAGUGGGGGACCUUCGGGCCUCACACCAUCGGAUGUGCCCAGAUGGGAUUAGCUAGUAGGUGGGGUAAUGGCUCACCUAGGCGACGAUCCCUAGCUGGUCUGAGAGGAUGACCAGCCACACUGGAACUGAGACACGGUCCAGACUCCUACGGGAGGCAGCGGUGGGGAAUAUUGCACAAUGGGCGCAAGCCUGAUGCAGCCAGGCCGCGUGUAUGAAGAAGGCCUUCGGGUUGUAAAGUACUUUCAGCGGGGAGGAAGGCGGUGAAGUUAAUAGCUUCACCGAUUGACGUUACCCGCAGAAGAAGCACCGGCUAACUCCGUGCCAGCCGCCGCCGUAA
rnacentral:rRNA from 1 species